AUUAAGGUAGCAAAGCCCGGGCAUGCAAAAGGCUUAAAACCUCAACACGGGCGUUCAAAUCGCCCCCUUAAUA
rnacentral:tRNA from 2 species